UCCCCCACGAAGAGCAGAGGUGGCCGUCCACGCCCCUUGCAGGCCGUAGCAUCCCCGCGGGAAGGAGGCACGGCCAUGGCGGCAAGGGAUGAACCGAUGCAGAAAUCGGCAGUUGGAGCUCUGCCACGUCCCUCCCUCUCCCAGUUUUCACGCCCACCAUGGAGGUCCACACAAGGAAGCGGAGGAAAGAUGCGGGGGAUCGGUUCAUCUGGGCUGCAGCUCGAUCCACCAAUAGCCAGGUCCCCCACCUUCUCUCUGGAUUCCCUUCUUUGUGCAGCAGAUCUCCAGUGCUUCCCUCAAGGUUUAGUUUUUUGCUUAUUUUGCAGCAGGAUGUGAUGGUUCUCAUAAACCGAUUUUUCUUGUUGUAGUGGAUCGACAACAGAUAUGCCUUCAUCUCCCUCUUGGACCUCGGUUUUUUCAUCUUCCCUUGGGCUGUUAGAUUGUGUUAUGGUAUUGGGGUGUUAGGUAGAGUCACAGAUAUGAGAUAUAUAAUUCUUUGUGGAGCUAAUUUCUUGGCUCAUUGUGGUUUCUAUGUAGAUUAUUUAUUUGCUUACUCUGCGUAUUUGUAUGUAUCUUUUCGCUAACUGAAUUCGAUUUCAAGAAGCAGCCCAGAGGUAUACGUAUUUUUAAUUUUUCUAUUGGCACCUAAAUCUCUAGGCAAAUCAUUUAGUACGAAUUAUCUGAUGCUAUUUUCUUCUUUCAUAAAUAUAACACUUAACUGCAUGUUUUAUUUCUUAUAUUGUAGUAUAAAUAGCCUAAUUGCCUAUACCAGCUUUACAUAUAAAUAUGCACUGAAACAAGUAUUUUUUUCCAAUUACAUUAUAGAUAUUAAUUGAAAUUGUGUAUGGAGGAAGAUUCAGUGUUCAUCCCUAGAGAUAUAAUCCUUCAUUUUCUGUUCUCUUGAUUUCAUGGAUGCUGUUGCAAGAUGACCAUCGACUGUAAGAUGGGAUACAUGAAUAUUCAUCGGUUUUUUGGGAUCCAAGUAAAAUCCACUCUCGUGUUUUGUUGGCCUCUUAGGACCAUGAUUUGUGUUUCUGGUUUCUUAUCUUCGUUCUAAUGUAGGGUUAACCAGCUUUGGAAAACUUUGUGAAUUUUUCAUGUUAAUUGUAUGGUAUUAUUAUCUGGUAUAUCAUGUUUCAAACAACAUUGUUGGUCUUUUGUAUAUUUUUGAUGAAUUUCUCGCACUGUCAGUUCAACCUUUGUAUAUUUAGUUAGUGCUUCUGUGUUCUUCUGGUAACGGUGGGCUUAUAUUCUGUAGUAAGAGAAAGUACAAAAAUUAAAGGCGAUUCUUACUUGAAAUUUGUUGAUCAGUAAUUAUGCUUACUUUCUACAGGCUACCAAUUGUCGUGUUUCUAAAAAUUAUUCCACUGUUGCUUGUGCAGGUACAUCUGAAUGAAUUAUGGUAUUGUUUAAUAUCUAUCAUUUACGUUCCAAGGUUUUCACGUGUGUCCCAGAAAAAUCCUGAAGAGAAUUUAAGGGUACAACUAAUUUAUCGCUGGGUUUUAUGUUGGUGCAUCGAUUCUAUCUUGUUUUGCUGCCUCGCUGAUAAGUACCAUGGCAUCAUUGGAUGGACUUGCAGCUUCAUGGAGGCGGCCACCGGUCUUUCUAAUGGCGAAGAAGAGGAAGGGGCAGGUCCUCGCGAUGCCAUAUUAGGGCCCAAGCCCAGGUGCAUCGCUCAAGUGAUUCUCCAGGGAAGAACAGAUGAAACCAUGCAUGAGGAGACCAACGCGUAGGAACAUGCCCUCAUAGCAUGCUUCGUUUCUUUCUUAGUCCCAGGAUUGGGGGCAGUGGCCAUGCUUGCGGCCUUCCCGUUGCGGUCCCUAGGACGAGGUCACCUAAGGCAACUUCCAGUGCGGAGCACGCUGCGAGUGGUGGCGAUGAUUUUGCAGAGCUUUGGCUCAAGCCAUCGCAUCUCUGUUUGGUGGUGUCCUUUCUUCAAGAAGUUAGCAGUGCGGAGCAUGCUGCAAGUGGUGGCGGAGAUUUUGCACAUCUUUUGCUCAAGGCAUGGCAUCUGUGUUUGGUGGUGUCCUUUCUUCAAGCAGCUAGCUCCAUGACCACUUCUAUUGUUAGAGGUGCAUGGACUAUGAUGACCUCUGAAAAGGCAUUCUCUACCUUGCAAGAAUUCUAAUGUGGAUUAUUGUACAAAAAUUAAAAAUUACCAUGCUUUACU